CUCCUUGUCCCUUGUCUAGAUCCUAGUCAUUCUCUACAACACAGUUCAAACAUCGCUGCCUCAAGGAAACCCUACCUCACCACAUCAUCAGCCCUCAGCUUCCGUCCCAGCCCCGGCCAAGUGAUCUUCCUCUCUGUUCCCAUGACUCUGGGAAAUCAGGUCCAGACUACAUAAAGGAUUAUUUACCCAAAAUUCAUCAGCACACCUCCUAUGUAGGAGAACAGCAUCUGGCGUUAGAAAAAACUGGAGAUCUCAGAUAUUUAUGGAGGCCUGCCUCAAAUAGAAGCUUGCCAGCAAAAUAUAAACAUGAGUACGUUGGUGAAAUUGGCUGGGGAGUACCACAGUAUAAUUUUAUCAACAAAUCAAGACUGGAGAGUGGCUUUCAUAUCAAGGCAACCAAAACCUCAUGUCCUGGAUAUGCAAGGAAAACAGAGUCGCGCUUCUUUUGCCUGGCAUAUGAGUGCUUUCGAGGACACUGAUCAGAGAAAUUCCAAAUGGGCUAUUCUUGUUAGGCAGUGUAAGUCAUCAUUGCCAAGAGCUUCCAAACCACCUAAGCUGCCGAAGCUACCAAAAAAGGAAAAGAAAAGGAAACGUUAACCUCUAAAUCAGCAUAACUCAACCUGCUUUUAGAAGGAGAAACUGCCUACUACUGUAGAACAAAAAAUAAGAUCAUAAUAAUCCACAAGUGCUUCUCAUAUUGCCCCAGGACAGAUGUCUUGCAAGAGUACGCUUCAGCUUAAAGCCCAAAUAAAGAGU
rnacentral:sRNA from 1 species